CGGGGUGCAGCAGGCGCGAAACCUUUACAAUGCUGGCAACAGCGAUAAGGGGACCUCGAGUGCCACGAUACAAUCGUGGCUGUCUAGUUGCCUAAAAAGCAAUUGAUAGCAAGGGCCGGGCAAGACCGGUGCCAGCCGCCGCGGUAACACCGGCGGCUCGAGUGGUAACCGCUAUUAUUUGGUCUAAAGGGUCUGUAGCCGGCUUAGUCAGUCUUUUGAGAAAUCUGGCCGCUCAACGGUCAGGCGUUCAGGGGAUACUGCUAAAGCUCGAGACCGGGAGAGGUGAGAGGUACUUCAGGGGUAGGGGUGAAAUCUUGUAAUCCUUGAAGGACCACCAGUGGCGAAGGCGUCUCACCAGAACGGAUCUGACGGCAAGGGACGAAAGCUAGGGGCACGAACCGGAUUAGAUACCCGGGUAGUCCUAGCCGUAAACGAUACUCGCUAGGUGUCGGCCACGGUGCGACCGUGGUCGGUGCCGUAGGGAAGCCGUGAAGCGAGCCACCUGGGAAGUACGGCCGCAAGGCUGAAACUUAAAGGAAUUGGCGGGGGAGCACAAGGGCGAAUCGCG
rnacentral:rRNA from 1 species